GAUGAAGAACGUAGCGAAAUGCGAUAAGUAGUGUGAAUUGCAGAAUUCAGUGAAUCAUCGAAUCUUUCAACGCACAUUGCGCCCCUUGGUAUUCCAUGGGGCAUGCCUGUUCGAGCGUCAUUUGUACCUUCAAGCUCUGCUUGGUGUUGGGUGUUUGUCUCGCCUCUGCGUGUAGACUCGCCUCAAAACAAUUGGCAGCCGGCGUAUUGAUUUCGGAGCGCAGUACAUCUCGCGCUUUGCACUCAUAACGACGACGUCCAAAAGUACAUUUUUACACUCUUGACCUCGGAUCAGGUAGGGAUACCCGCUGAACUUAAGCAUAUCAAUAAGCGGAGGA
rnacentral:misc_RNA from 1 species